GGGCGCGCUUAGCUCAGUUGGCUAGAGCAUCUCGUUUACACCGAGAGGGUCGGGGGUUCGAGCCCCUCAGCGCCCA
rnacentral:tRNA from 1 species